AGAGUUUGAUCCUGGCUCAGGACGAACGCUGGCGGCGUGCUUAACACAUGCAAGUCGAACGAGGUGCUUCGGCAUCGAGUGGCGAACGGGUGAGUAACACGUGAGCAACCUGCCCCUGGCUCUGGGAUAGCCUCCGGAAACGGGAUUAAUACCGGACAUGACCUUCACCUGCAUGGGUGGGGGUGGAAAGUUUUUCGGCCAGGGAUGGGCUCGCGGCCUAUCAGCUUGUUGGGGGGGUAACGGCCCACCAAGGCGACGACGGGAGCCGGCCUGAGAGGGCGACCGGCCACACUGGGACUGAGACACGGCCCAGACUCCUACGGGAGGCAGCAGUGGGGAAUAUUGCGCAAUGGGGGGAACCCUGACGCAGCGACGCCGCGUGCGGAUGAAGGCCCUCGGGUUGUAAACCGCUUUCACCAGGGACGAAGCGGGAGUGACGGUACCUGGGGAAGAAGCGCCGGCUAACUACGUGCCAGCAGCCGCGGUAAUACGUAGGGCGCGAGCGUUGUCCGGAAUUAUUGGGCGUAAAGAGCUCGUAGGCGGCCUGUUGCGUCUGCUGUGAAAUCCUGGGGCUUAACCCCGGGCGUGCAGUGGAUACGGUCUGGCUGGAGGCAGGCAGGGGAGAACGGAAUUCCCGGUGUAGCGGUGAAAUGCGCAGAUAUCGGGAGGAACCCGGUGGCGAAGGCGGUUCUCUGGGCCUGUUCUGACGCUGAGGAGCGAAAGCGUGGGGAGCGAACAGGAUUAGAUACCCUAGUAGUCC
rnacentral:rRNA from 1 species